CGCUGCGUAGACCGGCCGGGCCCGGCGCGGCGGUGUUUACCCGCGUGGGGUCGGCCGCUCGGGCGGCGCGCGUCCCUGUCUGAGUCCGCCCGCCCGGGGCUGUCUGUGAGGUCAUGUGUGUGUGUGUGUUCGUCUGCGCGCGCGCUCCCCGGAGACACCGGCCCGACUCGCUACACUGUAUCCGCUCGCGCAGUCGGGAGCCCAGGUCGCCGCCCGCGCACCUGCGCAGGACGCCCGGUCUGCCCGCGGCUCGUCUGCCCGGCCGGUCUUUCCGCAGGGCCCGAGUGCGAGCCGUCGAGCAGCGCGCGGGGCAGGCUCGCGGCAAAAGCAGGCGGGCCCCGCGGUGCUGAAGCUCACGGCGGCCUCGUGGCGACACACGGGAAGCAGAUGGUCGCAAACAAAGUCUCAAACUGCGGCUCUUACAAGUUCCACAAGGGAAGGGAAUCUGCUGUGAAAUAGGAUUCUGGAGGCGAGGGGGAGGCGGGUCCUCGGUGAAGGCUGUUGUCAUGGUAACCACAUACUCUAUCAUUGGAUACUUGAUAACUAUUUUAGAAAAAGGGUAAAAACCUCAAUAGUUCACCUUGUACAAAUAAAAGAGACCGAAGGGAAGGAAGGAUGGAAACGAGGGAAGAAAGGCAAAAAUUGGAGCACCGGAGACUGCUGCAGCUACGUGACCUGGAACAUUUUUGUCAGCUUUCUUGUGAGUAAAUUGAUCUUACAAUGAAUUAAGGGGUGACAUUUAUGGAGCUACUUUGACACAGUAGAAGCUGUCUCUGAAGAGUGGUCAAGAACUAAAGGAAAAUGGAGGUUGGACAUAUGGACAGGUCUCCCUCUUCACGGAAUGCUCCAUUCCCAUCCGGUCUGUUCAGAGAGCCACGGUACAUGUUCGGAGACGUGUUCGCGGCGUCAGUGUGUGGGGAAGAACAUGGCUGUUGCUUGGAGAGGGGGAGCUUGGGGAGAUUGGAAAAAAAGAGGAAUUCUUCGGCCCAGACUAUUGCUCAAGGGCUUAAAGAGAUCAUCUCCUAAGAGAGAGCUUGUUAGGAAAUAAGCCUGAGAAAGACUAAGGCCUUCUUUAUGGAGGCCUGAACUUCAUACCUCUUACAGCAAGAAGUUUGUAACGGAGGCUCAAAGGCGACGCCGAGUCCGCAUAGGUCUCCCCAGACAAAUAAA